rnacentral:rRNA from 1 species
GACGAACGCUGGCGGCGCGCCUAACACAUGCAAGUCGAACGAGGGAGAGGGAGCUUGCUUCCUCAAUCGAGUGGCGAACGGGUGAGUAACGCGUGAGGAACCUGCCUCAGAGAGGGGGACAACAGUUGGAAACGACUGCUAAUACCGCAUAAGCCCACAGGUCGGCAUCGACCAGAGGGAAAAGGAGCAAUCCGCUUUGAGAUGGCCUCGCGUCCGAUUAGCUAGUUGGUGAGGUAAUGGCCCACCAAGGCAACGAUCGGUAGCCGGACUGAGAGGUUGAACGGCCACAUUGGGACUGAGACACGGCCCAGACUCCUACGGGAGGCAGCAGUGGGGAAUAUUGCACAAUGGGGGAAACCCUGAUGCAGCGACGCCGCGUGGAGGAAGAAGGUCUUCGGAUUGUAAACUCCUGUUGUUGAGGAAGAUAAUGACGGUACUCAACAAGGAAGUGACGGCUAACUACGUGCCAGCAGCCGCGGUAAAACGUAGGUCACAAGCGUUGUCCGGAAUUACUGGGUGUAAAGGGAGCGCAGGCGGGAAGACAAGUUGGAAGUGAAAUCUAUGGGCUCAACCCAUAAACUGCUUUCAAAACUGUUUUUCUUGAGUAGUGCAGAGGUAGGCGGAAUUCCCGGUGUAGCGGUGGAAUGCGUAGAUAUCGGGAGGAACACCAGUGGCGAAGGCGGCCUACUGGGCACCAACUGACGCUGAGGCUCGAAAGUGUGGGUAGCAAACAGGAUUAGAUACCCUGGUAGUCCACACCGUAAACGCCAAUAAGGGGUGUGGAGGAUUGACCCCCCCAGGGCCGCAGAUAACACAAUAAGUAAUCCACCUGGGGAGUACGGCCGCAAAGGUUGAAACUCAAAGGAAUUGACGGGGGCCCGCACAAGCAGUGGAGUAUGUGGUUUAAUUAGACGCAACGCGAAGAACCUUACCAAGUCUUGACAUCCCUCGACGAACAUAGAAAUAUGUUUUCUCUUCGGAGCAAGGAGACAGGUGGUGCAUGGUUGUCGUCAGCUCGUGUCGUGAGAUGUUGGGUUAAGUCCCGCAACGAGCGCAACCCUUACUGUCAGUUACUACGCAAGAGGACUCUGGCAGGACUGCCGUUGACAAAACGGAGGAAGGUGGGGAGGACGUCAAAUCAUCAUGCCCCCUAUGACUUGGGCUACACACGUACUACAAAGGCGGUAAACAAAGAGAAGCAAGACCGCGAGGUGGAGCAAAACUCAGAAACAACGUCCCAGCUCGGACUGCAGGCUGCGACUCGCCUGCACGAAGUCGGAAUUGCUAGUAAUCGUGGAUCAGCAUGCCACGGUGAAUAAAAUGCCCCGCCUUGCACU